rnacentral:rRNA from 1 species
AGCAGCAGCCGCGGUAAUGCGAAGGGUGCAAGCGUUAAUCGGAAUUACUGGGCGUAAAGCGUGCGUAGGCGGUGAGUUAAGUCUGCUGUGAAAUCCCCGGGCUCAACCUGGGAAUGGCAGUGGAUACUGGCUCGCUAGAGUGUGUCAGAGGAUGGUGGAAUUCCCGGUGUAGCGGUGAAAUGCGUAGAGAUCGGGAGGAACAUCAGUGGCGAAGGCGGCCAUCUGGGACAACACUGACGCUGAGGCACGAAAGCGUGGGGAGCAAACAGGAUUAGAUACCCGCGUAGUCCCUGUCUCUUAUAU